rnacentral:rRNA from 1 species
UACGGAGGGUGCAAGCGUUAUCCGGAUUCACUGGGUUUAAAGGGUGCGUAGGUGGGUUGGUAAGUCAGUGGUGAAAUCCCCGAGCUUAACUUGGGAACUGCCAUUGAUACUAUUAAUCUUGAAUACCGUGGAGGUUAGCGGAAUAUGUCAUGUAGCGGUGAAAUGCUUAGAUAUGACAUAGAACACCAAUGGCGAAGGCAGCUGGCUACACGAAUAUUGACACUGAUGCACGAAAGCGUGGGGAUCAAACAGG